CCAGCAGCCGCGGUAAUUCCAGCUCCAAUAGCGUAUAUUAAAGUUGUUGCAGUUAAAAAGCUCGUAGUUGGAUUUUUGGUGGCCACUGCGGUCCAAUUUGGUACUUGUGGUGGCUGCCAUGUUUGAGUGGAACUUGUCUGGCAUUAGGUUGUCGGGCAGGCGAUGCUCAUUGUUUACUGUGAAAAAAUUAGAGUGUUCCAAACAGGCUGAUGCCGAUGAAUAUAUUAGCAUGGAAUAAUGAGAUAGGACUUUGGUACUAUUUUGUUGGUUUGCGCACCAAAGUAAUGAUUAACAGGGACAGUUGGGGGUAUUCGUAUUCCAUUGUCAGAGGUGAAAUUCUUGGA
rnacentral:rRNA from 1 species